UGAGGAAUAUUGGACAAUGGGCGCAAGCCUGAUCCAGCCAUGCCGCGUGCAGGAUGAAGCAUCUAUGGUGUGUAAACUGCUUUUGUACGGGAAGAAACACCUCUUCGUGAAGGGGCUUGACGGUACCGUAAGAAUAAGGAUCGGCUAACUCCGUGCC
rnacentral:rRNA from 1 species